AAAUCCAAGACAAGGAAAAUAGCGCCCAAGGAUUGAUUCAGCAAUAAAUUGUUAUCAGAUGCAUACUAAUGGCUCCAGCCCAUAUUCACUUACACUCAGUAGAGAGAGAGAGAGAGAGAGAGUGUUUCCAGUUGCUGGUUCACUCCUGAAGUGCACACAGUGAGCAGGACUGGCUUGGAUAGAAGCCAUGAGGCAGUAACUCAGGCCAGCAACGUCACGGGACACUUCAAAGACACCUGGUGGCUAGUGGCAUUGGGAAAUCUCACAUAGGGAUGCUUUUCAAACCUUAAUGUUCACUCAAGUCACUGUUCAAAAAGACCAUUCUGAUACAUUCUGUACAGGAGCGGGCCUGAGAGUGGGCAUUUGUGAUA